CACGCCGUAAACGAUGUUCACUAGGUGUUGGGGGUAUUGACCCUCUCAGUGCCGGAGCUAACGCAUUAAGUGAACCGCCUGGGGAGUACGGUCGCAAGACUAAAACUCAAAGGAAUUGACGGGGGCCCGCACAAGCGGUGGAGCAUGUGGUUUAAUUCGAUGCAACGCGAAGAACCUUACCUGGACUUGACAUCCCGGGAAUCUCCUGGAAACAGGGGAGUGCCUUUCGGGGAACCCGGAGACAGGUGC
rnacentral:rRNA from 1 species